CAAGAGCGUAUAUUAAAGUUGUUGCAGUUAAAAAGCUCGUAGUUGGAUUUCUGGUACAAUGCGCCUGGCCCGCGACCGUUAGGUCUGUGAGUGCCGGUGCGCGUUUGCCAUCCUUCUAGAAAACGUUUCUACCCUUCACUGGGCCGGACUCGCGAUCUAGAUCUUUUACUUUGAAAAAAUUAGAGUGUUUAAAGCAGGCUUUUGCUGUUAAUACAUUAGCAUGGAAUAAUAAUCUAGGACUUCGGUUCUAUUUUGUUGGUUUCUAGUACUGAAGUAAUGAUUGAUAGGGAUAGUUGGGGGUGCUAGUAUUGGCCGGCCAGAGGUGAAAUUCUUGGAUUCGGUCAAGACUAACUUAUGCGAAAGCAUUCACCAAGGAUGUCUUCUUUAA
rnacentral:rRNA from 1 species